CCCUUAGAUGUUCUGGGCCGCACGCGCGCUACACUGACGGAGGCAGCGAGCGUGUCCUUCGCCGGCAGGUGCGGGCAAUCUUGCGAGUCUCCGUCGUGCUGGGGAUAGAUGGUUGCAAUUGUCGAUCUUGAACGAGGAAUUCCUAGUAAGCGCAAGUCAACAGCUUGCGUUUAUUACGUCCCUGCCCUUUGUACACACCGCCCGUCGCUACUACUGAUUGGAUGUUUAAGCGAGGUUCUCGAACUGCUAGCGACUUAGCUUCGGUGAGGUCGCAGUGUGGGAAGUGAACCUAGCUUUGGUGUCUAGAGGAAGUAAAAGUCGUAACA
rnacentral:rRNA from 1 species